UGGGGAAUCUUGCACAAUGGGGGAAACCCUGAUGCAGCGACGCCGCGUGAACGAUGAAGCCCUUCGGGGUGUAAAGUUCUUUCGACAGGAACGAUAAUGACGGUACCUGGAGAAGAAGCUGCGGCUAACUACGCGCCAGCAGCCGCGGUAAUACGUAGGCAGCGAGCGUUGUUCGGAGUUACUGGGCGUAAAGAGUGCGUAGGCGGCGAGCCAAGUUUGGUGUGAAAUCUCCCGGCUUAACCGGGAGGGUGCGCCGAAAACUGGUUGGCUGGAGUAUGGGAGAGGAAAGCGGAAUUCCUGGUGUAGCGGUGAAAUGCGUGGAUAUCAGGAGGAACACCUGCGGUGUAGACAGCUUUCUGGACCAAAACUGACGCUGAGGCACGAAAGCGUGGGUAGCAAACA
rnacentral:rRNA from 1 species